CCCUUAGAUGUCCUGGGCCGCACGCGUGCUACACUGAUGCAUACAGCGAGUACUUUCCAGCUCCGCGAGGCAGCUGGUAAUCAGCAAUAUGCAUCGUGCUGGGGAUAGAUCUUUGGAAUUAUAGAUCUUGAACGAGGAAUUCCUAGUAAGCGCAAGUCAUUAGCUUGCGCUGAUUAAGUCCCUGCCCUUUGUACACACCGCCCGUCGCUCCUACCGAUUUCGAGUGAUUCGGUGAACCUUUUGGACAGCGUCUGUCCUCGUGUCAGAUGCUGAAAGUCAAGUAAACCAUAUCACUUAGAGGAAGGAGAAGUCGUAACA
rnacentral:rRNA from 1 species